rnacentral:rRNA from 1 species
CGGGACACGUGGUAUCCUGUCUGAAUAUGGGGGGACCAUCCUCCAAGGCUAAAUACUCCUGACUGACCGAUAGUGAACCAGUACCGUGAGGGAAAGGCGAAAAGAACCCCGGCGAGGGGAGUGAAAAAGAACCUGAAACCGUGUACGUACAAGCAGUGGGAGCACGCUUAGGCGUGUGACUGCGUACCUUUUGUAUAAUGGGUCAGCGACUUAUAUUCUGUAGCAAGGUUAACCGAAUAGGGGAGCCGAAGGGAAACCGAGUCUUAACUGGGCGUUAAGUUGCAGGGUAUAGACCCGAAACCCGGUGAUCUAGCCAUGGGCAGGUUGAAGGUUGGGUAACACUAACUGGAGGACCGAACCGACUAAUGUUGAAAAAUUAGCGGAUGACUUGUGGCUGGGGGUGAAAGGCCAAUCAAACCGGGAGAUAGCUGGUUCUCCCCGAAAGCUAUUUAGGUAGCGCCUCGUGAAUUCAUCUCCGGGGGUAGAGCACUGUUUCGGCAAGGGGGUCAUCCCGACUUACCAACCCGAUGCAAACUGCGAAUACCGGA